UACGAACUGUGCAUACGUUAUUCGGAAUCACUGGGCUUAAAGGGUGCGUAGGCGGCUUGCCAAGUAGGGUGUGAAAGCCCCCGGCUUAACCGGGGAAUUGCGCCCUAAACUGGCGAGCUGGAGUGAGAUAGGGGUGUGUGGAACUUCCGGUGGAGCGGUGAAAUGUGUUGAUAUCGGAAGGAACGCCGGUGGCGAAAGCGACACACUGGGUCUCAACUGACGCUGAGGCACGAAAGCCAGGGGAGCGAACGGG
rnacentral:rRNA from 1 species